GACCUUCAGACUCAAACUAUCAGCAGCUCAGACACUCAGCAGAGUCUUCAGGAUGCAGCAGGUUGUCUCUGAAGAGUGACUGGUCUAAAGGUCGUCCUCCAGACUUCAGUGGUGAACCUGGACCUUCAGACUCAAACUAUCAGCAGCUCAGACACUCAGCAGAGUCUUCAGGAUCCAGCAGGUUGUCUCUGAAGAGUG